AGCGAACGCUGGCGGCAGGCCUAACACAUGCAAGUCGAACGAAGUCUUCGGACUUAGUGGCGGACGGGUGAGUAACACGUGGGAACGUACCUUUUGGUUCGGAACAACUCAGGGAAACUUGAGCUAAUACCGGAUGAGCCCUUAGGGGGAAAGAUUUAUCGCCGAAAGAGCGGCCCGCGUUAGAUUAGCUAGUUGGUGUGGUAAAGGCUCACCAAGGCUACGAUCUAUAGCUGGUCUGAGAGGAUGAUCAGCCACACUGGGGCUGAGACACGGCCCAGACCCCUACGGGAGGCAGCAGUGGGGAAUCUUGCGCAAUGGGCGAAAGCCUGACGCAGCCAUGCCGCGUGAAUGAUGAAGGUCUUAGGAUUGUAAAAUUCUUUUACCAGGGACGAUAAUGACGGUACCUGGAGAAAAAGCCCCGGCUAACUUCGUGCCAGCCGCCGCGGUAAAAC
rnacentral:rRNA from 1 species